CUACUGGCGUCGAGAGGCGGCGGGAUGGCCAUGCAGAAGUCAGCAGAGGGCAUAGUAGGUCGCGAGGCCGAAGGCC
rfam:Burkholderia ubonensis Bu PMP6xxBTBxxBu-1046, whole genome shotgun sequence.